rnacentral:rRNA from 1 species
UACGGAGGGUGCAAGCGUUAUUCGGAAUUAUUGGGCGUAAAGAGCGCGUAGGCGGUCCUUUAAGUCAGAUGUGAAAGCCCAGGGCUCAACCCUGGAAGUGCAUUUGAAACUAAAGGACUUGAGUAUGGGAGAGGGAAGUGGAAUUCCUGGUGUAGCGGUGAAAUGCGUAGAUAUCAGGAGGAACACCGGUGGCGAAGGCGACUUCCUGGACCAAUACUGACGCUGAGGCGAGAAGGCGUGGGGAGCAAACAGG